UGGCAGUUAUGGCGGAUGUGACACACACGAUCCCAUUCCGAACUCGAUAGUGAAACCAUCCUGCGCCGAUGGUACUCUUGUUUUAGCACAGGGGAGAGUAGGGCGUUGCCAG
rnacentral:rRNA from 1 species